GAUAACACUAAAAAUGCCUAAUAAAACAUAAAAAUAAUAAUAAUGCAUAAAUAAGGAUAUUACACUGAUACAUGAUACAUUAGAGAAGUUAAAAGACUGCAUACUUUUUAUGAUUUCAUUCUCAAAUCAUCAUCUCAUCUAAGUCUGGGGAAAGAGGCAGAAAUUUCUGUACACAAAUAUAAUCCUUUAGGUAAUUUCCUCUAGCCAGUAUGGAAACCACUGUAAUCCUCCAGCACAGGAAGUGUCUCACCAAUGUAUAUCCUUUUCUUGGCCUUAAAAAUUGCUCCAUGACAACAAAUGACAAAUAUAUAAAGAAAUACUUGCUCUGUGUAUUAUUCAAAACAAAUUCUUAAUUUACCAAUUCAUUUCAGUAGUAGUUUUUAAAACAAUACAUUUGCUAAUUGCAACUAUAAAAUUAUUUUACUUUCAGUUCCCGAUUGUCUUCCUAGAGCAGCAGAAAACUACAAGCUGUGUCAUCAUUCCUGUUUAUCCCCUGUCUACGAGACAAAAACAUUGAGAUGGAUGAUAUGGCACUGUGUAAAAAUACCUUCCUACAUCUUCCUACAUGAAGUGACACCUGACAAAGUGUGUCUGUACACAUGCGCCCACAAACACAGAGACAGAGAGUCAUAUUGUUACCGAGAAACAUAGUUCAGUUCUGGUUACAUUGAGCCUCAUAUCAUGUAAAUGUGUUGACACUGUAUGUUGCUUUGGACAGGAGUGGUCGGUGGCAGGAUGUUGGGGGCUGGGGGUUUGACUGGGGUGGAGGGAAACCAGCAGGAAUCAACAGCACUUGUAGAGCAACAAACUGACAGGUGGCUGCCUGGUCUAGUACUGCCUGUCACCCAGAAGAUGGAUGGUGUCUUACUUCUCCCAGGCGACAACAGUGACUGUGCUGUUACUCUGUGGUGCAUCCUGAUUCCCACUGACACCCACAGAAGACUGCCAAUUUUGUAUCACUGCUGAGCCGUUUGAUGGAGUCCUCUGCCUCUUUCUGUCUAGCUGGAACAAAUUGAGUAUGAGAAAAGAUAAUAUCCAUAAUGACCUUGUUUGGACUUUUCUGUUGUGGAAGCAAAUCAAUCAGUGGGUGGGUAGUUACUUUUACCCAGGCUAUACCCAGUCUAAGGCUAUACUGUAAGAUUUUCUCACUGGAUUGACAGGUAAAAAUGUCAUCAAAUAAGAAUUUGCAAACUGAAAAUUCUGAAUAUAAUUCUGCACCAAUGAACUGCACUUAAAUAUGAGCACAAAAUGUUUUACUGUAAUCCACUGAGUAACUGCAUGAAUAUAGUAAUGUAAAAUAUUACACUAAGCAUUGUAAAUGUAUAAAUGACACAAUUCCUUAAUAUCAUAAGUUUUACUGUCACAGUUCAUCUCAUUUAUAUGCAUGCUGAAGUCAUCCAUCUUAUGAUAUCUGUGAUUGCUUGAAAAGACAAGACAGGAGCGACUCCACAUCACCCCUAAUGACCUGCUCUUUACUUUUCUUUUUUCACUACUAUUCAGUAUAGCAAAUAGCAGUAGCAAUGAUGUGGUAUUAGCAGACCACAGAGAUUGGCCAGGUAGUGCAGCUGUUCCAG
ensembl:lncRNA